rnacentral:rRNA from 1 species
UACGUAGGGUGCGAGCGUUGUCCGGAAUUAUUGGGCGUAAAGAGCUCGUAGGCGGUCUGUCGCGUCGGAUGUGAAAGCCCGGGGCUUAACCCCGGGUCUGCAUUCGAUACGGGCAGACUAGAGUGUGGUAGGGGGAGAUCGGAAUUCCUGGUGUAGCGGUGAAAUGCGCAGAUAUCAGGAGGAACACCGGUGGCGAAGGCGGAUCUCUGGGCCAUUACUGACGCUGAGGAGCGAAAGCGUGGGGGAGCGAACAGG